AUGGAUGCCGCCGGCGUCGACCGGCUGAGCGACCUGACGGACUGCCUGCUCCACACCAUCCUCUCCCGCCUGGAGGCCCGGCAGGUCGUGCAAACCUGCGUGCUGUCGUCGAGGUGGCGCCGCCUCUGGCUGGCCGUCCCGUGCCUCGACAUCGACGGCGGGGAGGACCAAGAGGGGGAAGAUGAGGAGGAGCGGCACAAGAAGCUGGACGAUUUCGUCGACAACCUCUUGCUUCGCCGUAGCACCUGCGCCUCCUCGCCGCUGCACACCCUGCGGGUGAGCGUCGCCUCGCCGCGGCCUCUGUGGAGGCGGGCCCACCACGACCGCCGUUCUUCCAUCUGCGCCGCCCACACCAGAUGGGUUAGCCGUGGCCUCGAGUGCUCCCCGGCGGUGCUCGAAGUACGCGGCAUCAAGCUGCCUUCCUUCGCCUCAGGCACCCACCGCCUCACUAAGCUGCUCCUUCAGGACGUGAUUCUCCACAAGGAUUUCGAGAAGCAUCUCUUCGCUUGGCUCAGAGUCCUCCAAGACUUGGAGAUCAGAAGCUCAGACAUGUCCAAUCUCUCAAGGAUCGAGUCCAACACGCUCAAGAACCUCACAGUUGAGGCAGACACCAUCUUAAACUUCGAGGUCAUAGCCCCUCGGCUCGCCUCGCUGCACCUUGCCGUCCAGUUCCGUGGCCUUCGAGCCUUCUCUGUCACCGUAAGGGAUGCGCCUGAUCUUGUCCAAGCAUCCGUCCGCUUAUUGGACAACCCUCUGCCGGUGAAAGGAUAUCCCUUUGUUUUUCAACAGGACGCAAAUUUGUUGCCACCGAUGCUAUGUAGAUUUCUCCGCUCUCUAUCCAACGUCAGAAGCUUGGAGUUGUCAGGAUUUCGUGAUAUGGCACAACAUAUUUCGCCACCUCCUUCACUUGGUGUUCCUUGGCCUGCCGAGUACCAAUUUCAAUUGAUGGCGCCAGGAAGUGAUAAAUCUGCCCCAUGUCCUAUGUUGCAGGCGAUACUUGAUGAGGAGCACAAUAGAUUACCAAUGUUCCGCAAUCUAAGAACCCUGGUCCUUGAACAAUGUGAGAUUGGUGACAACAUUCAGACGUUGUGUAGUUUCCUGCAUUAUACGCCUGCCCUCGAGAAACUUACUCUGAAGAACUGUGAGUGCCAAAAGGUUCCAUCCAGUUCAGCUUCCAACAUUUUGGAGAUGGGAUUUAUGACCUCCAGUCUCAGCCUAGUACAAAUCCAGUACGAUGACAAGGAUGAUCAUGAAGGCCAAGGUACUCCACAAGUUGACAAUGUUGUGUCCAUGGUGGAGAAGAACAUGCCAGUGACUGCAAUGAUCCAUGUGACCAAAGUCAGGAAAACUUAG
rnacentral:rRNA from 1 species